rnacentral:lncRNA from 1 species
UUUUCAUGACAUUCCAGGAUGCUAGACAAUGGUUGUCUUAUUCAUAGUAAUCUGCGAAAUUAUGUCACAGAGAACAAUAAGAGCCACCGUAGACAGAAAUUGUGAGGCAACUCGUAUAAUGAAUGAAAUGUAAUUGUUUGAAAAAAAAUAAAUCUCGUGCAAAUAUGGAGCAAAGAAUAGCUUAGCAUGCAUUAAGUUAAUAGCAAUGUACAAUUCAUUCCAACAAGACGUUGAAACUUUUCAAUAUUAUAUGUUUUUUUAAUUUAAUUUCUUAUUUGCUAGUGAUCUUUCAAACCUAAAAUUUUUUUCAUUUGCAGAGUAACUUGGGAAUCACAAAAGUCAUUAUCCAAGAUACUUACUGGUUAAAUACGCAAGUUUGCUCAUUCAAAGUAGGUGCUCAAAGCAGCAACAACCAAUCCUGUUGUCUCAAGAGUUGACGCUACAUCAGGGUACCCUUUCCAAGAUGUACUGAUCUUGAGAGAAGGAUAAAGCCAACUCUUUAUGGAAGACAUAAAGGAAUGGUUCUGGUUUUCAUGACAUUCCAGGAUGCUAGACAAUGGUUGUCUUAUUCAUAGUAAUCUGCGAAAUUAUGUCACAGAGAACAAUAAGAGCCACCGUAGACAAAAAUUGUGAGGCAACUCGUAUAAUGAAUGAAAUGUAAUUGUUUGAAAAAAAAUAAAUCUCGUGCAAAUAUGGAGCAAAGAAUAGCUUAGCAUGCAUUAAGUUAAUAGCAAUGUACAAUUCAUUCCAACAAGACGUUGAAACUUUUCAAUAUUAUAUGUUUUUUUUAUUUAAUUUCUUAUUUGCUAGUGAUCUUUCAAACCUAAAAUUUUUUUAAUUUGCAGAGUAACUUGGGAAUCACAAAAGUCAUUAUCCAAGAUACUUACUGGUUAAAUACGCAAGUUUGCUCAUUCAAAGUAGGUGCUCAAAGCAGCAACAACCAAUCCUGUUGUCUCAAGAGUUGACGCUACAUCAGGGUACCCUUUCCAAGAUGUACUGAUCUUGAGAGAAGGAUAAAGCCAACUCUUUAUGGAAGACAUAAAGGAAUUGGGAUCGGAUUCCAGAAUUGC